UGGAGCUUAUUAUAAUGUGCUUAUUUAUGUAGUAAACGACUGGAUUAUUUUAGUGAAGUCCCUUUUCUCCAAACUGUGUUUAGCCACUAAUGUUGUUCCUUCAGGAGGUACAGCACUGGGUAUGCCCACAGUCACUCCGGAAUCAGUGGGUUUGGUGGUUCUCUCCUGCAAACCAGCCUUCUACAGUUUAACCUGUAUCUUGAAUAUUCUCCCAGUUGCCUUUUAUCACACCUCACUGACCUUGAGAGUGCUUUUAGACUUGAAAUUAUUCACUCUGCUGCAAUAAGCUAAAUUCCUUCUGAAAGAGAUGAAAAGCUAUCUGUUUUAUGGUGGGUUUCUCCCCGCAGGUACAAUCUCUGAGCCAGGGCACUGGAGCUGGGAAAGGGAACGAUGGUAAGCUUCUCUCUGAGUGACAUCCCCACUCUAGGGGCUAAGCCCUUGAUUGUGAGGGAGGUGUUAAAGAAAAAAUUAUUCUGACACUUGUUAAGAUGAGAAAGAAGACUUUCUUCAGAAUGAUCCCGAUAGGUGUCAAGAUAAUUGAGGCUGGGCGCAGUGGCUCACGCCUGUAAUCUCAGCAUUUUGGGAGGCUGAGGUGGGUGGAUCACUUGAGGUCAGGAGUUCUACACCAGCCUGGCCUGGCCAACGUAGUAAAACCCUGUCUCUACUAAAAAUACAAAAUUAGCCAGGGAUGGUGGCAGGCAUCUGUAAUCCCAGCUACUUGGGAGGCUGAGGCAGGAGAAUCACUUGAACCUAGGAGGCAGAGGUUGCAGUAAACCAAGAUCGCACCAUUGCACUCCAGCCUGGGUGACAGAGCAAGACUCCGUUCUCAAAAAAAAAAAAAAAAAAAAAAAAUUAUUGAGAUAGAAGAGAUCAGUCUCAAUUACAAACUCACGAGGAACAAGUAGGGAUUUAUAGGCAAGGAGUAAGUUGGAGAAGGGUUGUCAGUAGAUGGAAAAUUACUAAGAGGAGACAGAAAUGAAGGGUAAGGGAAAUUCUUGCUACAUUUACCAAACAGGAUUCUUGCUUAAGUCAGGUCAGGUUGAUCAGAUAUAAAGGGUCAAGGGGAUUCUUUUUAAACUGCCAGGAUUCUUGCUAAAACUGGGCUCUUGAGGACAAGGUCCAAGAAUGAGGCCUAGUCUAAAAAAGUUUCUAAGCCUGGCCAGGUGCAGUGGCUCACACCUGUAAUCCCAGCACUUCGGGAGGCCGAGGCGGGUGGAUCACAAGGUCAGGAAAUCGAGACCAUCCUGGCUAACACGGUGAAACCCUGUCUCUACUAAAAAUACAAAAAUUAGCCAGGUGUGGUGGCAGGCGCCUGUAGUCCCAGCUACUUUCCCAAGUAGCUGAGGCAGGAGAAUGGGGUGAACCUGGGAGAUGGAGGUGGCGGUGAGCCGAGAUCACGCCACUGUACUCCAGCCUGGGCGACAGAGUGAGACUCUGUCUCAAAAAAAAAAAAAAAAAAAGUUUCUAAGCCUGACUAAAGUUUGGGUAAGGAGAGAGCCUCUGUCAGUGCAGAGCAGCUGGGGUCCUCUCGGCUUGCCUCUCUUGCCAUGGAACCACCACCUCGCAAGCCAGGACCAAGGCCCCAUUAUCUUAGCAUGUCAUGCCUAAGGAAGCCUCCAGUCCAUGAGUGGGGUCUGGGUGGAAUAAGAGAGCCUCAGCAACAGGUGGCUACGAGCAGGAUGAGAAAAGCUGUGGUUCUGCUAUUCCCAGGACGAAAGCCCUCUGUGAGGGGAUGUUCUUGGCUGCAGCAGCCUGUCUGGGGGCCUGGAUAGAACAAAAGGGCAAGAAGAAAGGCAAAUUUCCUCUCUCCUAGAGCUAGAACACCAUUUUAUCUCCUGUCCUUUGGCAUCAGAACUCCAGAUUCUCUGGCCUUUGGACUCUGGGACUUGCACCGGCAGCCCCCUGGGUUCUCAGGUCUUUGGCCUUGGACUGAGAGUUAGACCAGUGGCUUCCCUGGGUUUUGGGGCCUUCAGACUUGAAUGAGCCACCCCCUACUGGCCUCCCUAGCCUGCAGACGGCCUGUUUUAAGACUUAUCAGCCUACAAUCACAUGAACCAAUUAUAUCUACCUACCUACCUACUUAUUUAUCUAUCCUACCUGUUCUGUCUCUCUGGAGAACCCUGACAAAUCCAAAGCCCUAGUCCACAGUACCUCAAAAUCUGACUGUAUUUGGGAAUAGAGCUUUUAAAGAGGUAAAGUACAAUGAGGCCAUAUGGGCAGGCCCUACUCCAAUAUAACUGGUAUCCUUUAAGAGGACAUUGGGACACAGACUCACACAAACCAAAAGAUAACCAACCACGUGAGAACAUAGGGAGAAGGUGGCCAUCUACAAAUCAAUGGGAGAGGCCUCAGAAGAAACCAAACCUGCUGACUGACACUUUGAUCUCAGACUUCUACCCUCCAGAAUUGUGAGAAAAUGAGUAUCUAUUAUUUAAGCCACCCAGGUUGUUGUAUGUAAUUUGUUACAGUAGCCCUAGUAAACUAAUACAAUGUACACGGAACUAUUUUGGCCUCCUUGGGACUGCCCAUAUAUGGGCAAUCUAUGCUUCUGGGGAACAUGAUGGAAGAAGUUAUGGUUAUCACACAAAUGUACAGGUCAGAGACAAUAAACUUUGGUGAGGGUAUGGAUCUAUGAAUCCAUACGCUCAAAUACAGUUGUGCUGUUGGAGUUUGUCACUGAAUUCCCGAAGCCCUAUAUAGACAGCAGAUGUUUUUGUAGGUUGAGGCAAGGCUCCAUUUUCCUUCUGUAUAUGUUCAGCUCUCUGGGUAUUUCAUUCAUCAGAUGGCAGCUUGGCUUAGAGAAGGUGUUGGUCUGUAUUAACGCAAUGGCUGCCACCAAGUCACUACAAGCACUAGGGUUCUAUCAAUGAUGAUCUAGCUCAGUGGCUUUGUCAUGGGGACUGCCAGGGGAAAGAAUCUGGGGCUGGUUCCGUCAGAAGCUCCUACCAGCUGAAAGGAAAUGGCAGAUAUUCAACAGAUAAUCUACUGUAUGCUGGUCUCUGCAUGGGUAUUUUAUUUCUUAUAAAGAAGAUCCUGCUUCUUACUAAAUAGGGGUUGUCACUAGAACCCUGUAAUCUCUUCAAUCUUUAUGCCCUUAUUUAAAAGAAUUUAGAAUAAAUUCAUUCUAACAGUGAGCUAACAUCAUAGACCAAGCACACAAACUAACAGUUAAUUCUGCAGCCCUGGGAACUUUUUUUUUUUUUUUUUAAAUGACAGAGUCCCGCUCUGUCACCCAGGCUGGAGUACAGUGGUGCGAUCUUGGCUCAAUGCAACCUCUGCCUCCCAGGUUCAAGCGAUUCUCCUGCCUCAGCCUUCCGAGUAGCUGGGACUACAGGCGUGAGCCACCACACCUGUCUAUUUUGUAUUUUUAGUAGAGACAGGGUUUCACCAUAUUAGCCAGGAUGGUUUUGAACUCCAGACCUCAGGUGAUCUGCCGGCCUUGGCCUCCCAAAGUGCUGGAAUUGCAGGCAUGAGCCACCGUGCCCAGCCAAGAACUAUUUUUUGAAUAAAAAAACUGGAAGUGUUCUGAAAAUACAAGGAUAGUCUGCCUGUUCUAGAAAAUCUGGGGCUGGUAGCUACUAUUCUUGGACCAUAUUGAGAGAUGGUUAAAAACAUUAGAUGCUCAAAAAAUCAGGUAAAUUAUUUAGAUUUAGUUUGCAAGCUAGUCCAUGUUGCAAGAAAGGACAUACCAGUGCUUUCCAUCUUUAUUAUAAUGUUCCUUGAUGGCAUGGCUAGACUUUUACAACUUUGGAUCCUCUGGCAAUGCAUAUAUCUGUCAAAUCAGCCCACACUAAAGCACAGCAAUAAGAGGCAUGGGGGUGAGGGAGCGAUCAGGACAAUCCUAAACCUUGGCAUUUUUUCCAGAUGAGAUCGGGUGCAGUCAGGGUAGUAUGGCAUGCAGACAUUUGUGUUUUUUUCAAAGUAAUUCCUACCUAAAUAAGUUUUUGUUCCUACCUAGUUAUAUUUCAUUCUCAAGUUCAUAUAUAUUGUUUCUGUCAUAAAGGAUAAAUGUGCAUUGAAAAUUCAUAGGAUAUAUAAGGCAAUCUAAGACAGCUAUGAUUAACAUAUCAAGUCACACAAAAUAAGAAGUAUAAAAGAAGCAUAAAAUAAAGUUAAAAAUGAAAUGAAACACUAAUAAAUGAAAAAACAAACAUUGCGGAGGAUCAAAACACAUGAAAAACAGGUUAUUUGAAAAUACUUCUGCAAGAUGGCUCAAGAAAAGGAGAAAAGGCACAACUGAAAAACAGUAAUAUGGAUAUACAGGCUGGGCGCGGUGGCUCACGUUUGUAAUCCCAGCACUUUACAAGGCUGCGGCAGGCGGAUCACUUGAGGCCAGGAGUUCGAGACCAGCCUAGCCAACAAGGUGAAACCCGUCUCUACUAAAAACAUAAAAACACAAAAAUUAGCCAGGCGUGGUGGUACACGCCUGUAAUCCCAACUACUUGGGAGACUGAGGCACAAGAAUUGCUUGAGCCUGGGAGACGGACAUUGCAGUGAGCUGAGAUUGUGCCACUGCACUCCAGCCUGGAUGAAAGAGCAAGACUCUGUCUCAAAUAAUAAGUAAAUAAAUAGUAAAUAUAAACAAAAAUAAAAAUGGGUAUAGGCCGAGUGCAGUGACUCACUUCUGCAUACUCAGCACUUUGGGAGGCCAGGAGUUUGAGACCAGCCUGGGAAACACAGCAAGACCUCAUCCCUCCAAAAACAAGAAGAUAUAAUUACUGAUAAGGCAGAGAUUUAAAAACAUUAUAAACUUUAACCAAUAUGUUUGAAAACUACUAUAUAAAUUA
rnacentral:lncRNA from 10 species